rnacentral:rRNA from 1 species
GGACCGGCGCACGGUGAGUAACACGUAUCCAACCUGCCGUCUACUCUUGGCCAGCCUUCUGAAAGGAAAGAUUAAUCCAGGAUGGGAUCAUGAGUUCACAUGUCCGCAUGAUUAAAGGUAUUUUCCGGUAGACGAUGGGGAUGCGUUCCGUUAGAUAGUAGGCGGGGUAACGGCCCACCUAGUCAACGAUGGAUAGGGGUUCUGAGAGGAAGGUCCCCCACAUUGGAACUGAGACACGGUCCAA